GCAAUAAACUAGCUCAGUCGGUAGAGUAUGAGACUGUUAAUCUCAAAGUCAUAGGUUCAAGCAAAAGAUUCUUGCACUGCA